rnacentral:rRNA from 1 species
UACAGAGGUCCCAAGCGUUGUUCGGAUUCACUGGGCGUAAAGGGUGCGUAGGCGGUCUGGUAAGUCUGACGUGAAAUCUCCGGGCCUAACCCGGAAACUGCGUCGGAUACUAUCCGGCUAGAGGAUUGGAAGGGAGACUGGAAUACUUGGUGUAGCAGUGAAAUGCGUAGAUAUCAAGUGGAACACCAGUGGCGAAGGCGAGUCUCUGGACAAUUCCUGACGCUGAGGCACGAAAGCCGGGGGAGCAAACGGG